rnacentral:rRNA from 1 species
AUUCCAGCUCCAAUAGCGUAUAUUUAAGUUGCUGCAGUUAAAAAGCUCGUAGUUGGAUUUCGGAUGGGUUCCGUCGGUCCGCCUCACGGUGUGCACUGGCGGCGCCCAUCUUGCUGUCGGGGACGGGCUCCUGGGCUUAACUGUCCGGGACUCGGAGUCGACGAGGUUACUUUGAGUAAAUUAGAGUGUUCAAAGCAGGCCUACGCUCUGAAUACAUUAGCAUGGAAUAACACGAUAGGACUCUGGCCUAUCUUGUUGGUCUGUAGGACCGGAGUAAUGAUUAAGAGGGACAGUCGGGGGCAUUCGUAUUUCAUUGUCAGAGGUGAAAUUCUCAGACCAGCGGAAGACGAACCACUGCGAAAGCAUUUGCCAGGGAUGUUUUCAUUA